rnacentral:misc_RNA from 1 species
GGCAAAUAAAAAGAUUUAGUCCACAACUCCACAUUAUAUCCAAUUGCUUAGAGUUCCAAACCAGGAUUGAUACUAUAAUUGGUUUCAUAUCUGUCGUGGAAUUCCCUAAGGAGAAUUCAACAUCUUUCUAUAACUAGAUGAUCAUAUCAGAUCACAUCUACUUCAGAUAGUUAAUCCGAUAAAGUAAAGGUUCUGCAUAUGGUUUUUAAGAGCCAUAUAGCAUAUGGAUUUAUAUAAUGAGCAGCCUUCUCCAUUUACAAGCUUAAUUUUUUAAAUUAGACAAUUACUACAGACUAGAGUCUUAAUAAAUGAAAGAUGAAAAAACUCUACACUUGAGAUAUUAU